UGUUACCCAGGCUGGCAUGCCGUGGCGCGAUCUCGGCUCACUGCAAGCUCCGCCUCCCGGGUUCACGUCAUUUUCCUGCCUCAGCCUCCCGAGUUGCUGGGACUACAGGAGCCUAGCUAAUUUUUUUAUUUUUAGUAGAGACGGGGUUUCACUGUGUUAGCCAGGAUGGUCUCAAUCUCCUGACCUCAUGAUCCACCCGCCUCGGCCUCCCAAAGUGCUGGGAUUACAGGCGUGAGCCACCUCGCCUGGCCAGAUAAACACCUUUUCAAAUGGCAACUGGCUAUUGGGACACCACUUUUGUGAAAUAUUCGCAGAGCACCCACUAGGUGCCAGUAAAUGUAUGAGAAGUCCUGUGGAAUAAGACUGAAGUUGUCCUUGCCUUCAAGCAACUUGCAAUUGCCUAAGAACACAGUUUAAAACCACAAAACUAAGCCUUGGAAAUCACAUGCUGUCAUUUCUGCGAUCGGUCAUAACCAGUCCUGAUUCCAUGUUAGAGGAGACUACAUAAGGACACAGGUACCAGAAGAAACUUCUAAGUGCUGCUGUAUUUCACCAAGCUCCAGUUGAUAUCCAAAUUGGACAACUCCUGUGUGCCAGGACAAUUAAAAGGUAAAGUUGAAAAAUGAUUUGAACAACAAAGGCAAAUUAAAAGCCCUCCCUGGAGCAAAGAUUGAAUCAAGAGUAUGGCUGUUAUGCUUCUGUUAAAACCUCUGAAUCAGUUAAGAGAAACGUAUGUCUCAACAGGGCCUGAUUAUUCACCUGGGCAACAGAAUCCAAGAACAUAGGCCACAGAGGCACAGUAGCUGACCCACAGCCUCUAACGUGUAAACUUCCUAUGUAAGCUGUCUCAUUUUCUCCGAAGCCAUGUGCUUGUUUUGCAGUAUCAUGUGGAAGAAAUAUUUGAAGGAUUUAGACUAAUUUUAAAUCCUGCUUCUGCUGCUUGCCAGGAGCAUGUCAACAGGGCCACCAAGAUGACACUGAGGCCCCUACCCAGCAUCCCAAAGGCAGUAUCACAGCAAAAGCUUUAAAAAAUAAAUUUAUAUUUCCUUCAUCACAAAUGUUAUGAAUACCAAUUAUAGAAAAUGUAGAAAUCCAAUAAAUUAGAAAGAAGAGAGAAAAAAUUACCCAAAGCCUACCACUCAGAAUGAAAAAUUUGGAGUCUAGUGAAAAGAAGUGACUUGCUCAAAAUCACACAGCACAUGAAGAACAGAGCCUCUAUGAUGAAUUUCUUGACAGCUGAUAUAAGUCUUUUGAGGUACAGCCUGGCACAAAAAGGAUGAGAUUUGUGGGCAGAAUUUUGGAAGAAUAUCUCCCGAGAGAACAUUCAGGACAGAUUGCACUGCUUUGGAGAGCUGGUGAUGAAAUCCGGCCAUUGAAUUACACUGCACUAUAAACUUCAUUUGUUCUUGGGUGCAUAGUGAUUUGCUAUAAUAAUGAUCAUCCAUUUGCCAGACAGCUGAGAUUUUUUAAAAGCUUGAUUGCUUUUGGCAUGGCAUUAUUAGUCCUGGAAGAAGGCAGCACAUUUGUAGCAAUUCUCAGCUUGAGCAAACUAGAAUAUUCACCUCCCACAAAUGCUGGCCAUUUAAGAUCUGUGUGUUAGACUUUGGCAUUUUUUCUAGCAAUUCUACAACAGCAUACACACUUUUAUUUUUCAUUAACACCAUUGUGAAUAUGCCCAUCUCUAAAAUUUCAAGGGGGUUCACUUAAGCUACUGAGUUUUAUGGACAGAAGGGCCAAGAAAAGUCCCCAAAGAAGAGUGCAUGCUGUCAAUUGCCAAUUAUUUUUUUUUCUAAUGAAAGCCAAACAAUUCCAGACAAACCCUUUUCUAAGAAAUGAACUACAUAUCUGGAUCCAAAUAAAUACUCAUCUGAUAAGAAUCUAAAAGCUCUACUGAAUUACAGUGGAUGAGAACAUGAUGAUGGUGAUUCUUUGAAGAUUACUGAGGAAAUCAACUCUCAUGUCUGAUUCUGAUACUUUUAUAGUCCAUCCAUGUUGAAAAUGUCUAUGGAAUGAUUCUGUUGUACCUUGAGAAAUGAAAUUCAUAGGCAUGGAUUCUCUCACACAGCAACUUUAUACACAAAGAUGAGAAUAGAAGAAAGGUCAUUUCCAAAGAAAGUGACAUUUAUUCUGUAUUCACUGAAAAGCCAAAAGAAUUUUCUCAUUCACCCAUACCGACAGAGCCCUACAUCUCCCCGAGAAGAGGUGAAAGAGACUGCUCCUAUCUGCUUCUGCAUCAAACUUCAGGCUCAAGACCUGUCCAGAAAAAAAAAUGUCUUCUUUCAGGGAUGAACUGCUGUCCUCAUCAGACGCCUUAUUUUGUUUAGAAUUCAAGCUCACUUGACAGGUUAUUGUGAAGAUUAAAUGAAUUAAUACAUGUGAAGCAACUGUAACAACUCUUGACAUGCGGAUCCCAUUGAGGAUGCCACAUUAUGUUUCAUUGCCAUGUCUCCAUAGACUCUUCUUGGUUGUGAUGGUUUCUCACGCUUUUCUUGGUUUUGAAGACGUUGACAAUUUUCUUCCAUUGGGAUUUGCUUGAUGCUUUUCUCAUGAUUACACUGGAACUGUGACUUUUUAGAAGGAAGAUCAUAGAGGAGAAGAAACUGAGGUUCAAGGACUAGUAACCAGCAGCAGAUCACACAGCUGGAAGACAACUAAGAGCAAAAAAACAGGCACAAUUAAAGUGCUAAGAAAUCACUGCAGACAGAGAACCUGACACUGACAAGGAGAAUUACAUAUGCAUCAAUGAGGAGCUGGCAUUUUGGCUCAGUCUAGAAGUCAUAGGAAUUUUCCUGGAGAAAGUUUUUUCAAAGUGAAUAGCAUAUGCAAAAAUGGCACUUUGCUGAGAAGAAUUCUGAGGUCCUGUUUGAUGUCAACAGAAAGAAAUGCUAUAAUCAAUGUGUAAUGACAGCCAUACUAGUGACAAUAAGACCAGUCACAACAGAUGGAGGACUCAAUGCUUAUGUUGGAGAAGGAAGCUACAUUGUCCCUGAGUUCAUGGAAAUGUCAAGUCUAGAAGAUGGAAAAGUUCAGUUAAUAUCUCCAGAGACCCACAGCCUCCAGGCUGUGGGACUCCCUCAGACAGUGGCCAUGGAUGGCUGACAGGACGCAUUCUUCCCAGUCUGGCCCUGUGAAGAGUCAGAAUAAAAGGCCAUGGAACCACAAACCUGUAGGUGAAUGCACAUCCAUUAGCAUUCCUGUAAGUACGUGUAUUUGGUGGCUUUGCUGGAGUAACAAACUACCUCAAGAUCUCAGUGUUAUAUGAAACAAAGGUAUGUUUCUUGUUCAUAUUGCGUGUAGGCUUCAGGCCACCCGAGGGUCUGCUCCCAUUGUGCUCUGCUCUAUCAGUCUUCUCAGCUAGACUGCCAGGCUAAACAAGCAACCUCUAUUUGGAAAGCACCAUUCUCACAGCAGGAAGCAGAAGCAAGAUUACCAUGUCAUCCUAUUUAAAGCUUCUGCUCCAACAAUGGCUUAUAUCAUAUUCACUUAAAUUACACUAGACAAAUUUAAGAACAGGACAGGAAAGUUCAUGCCAUCUACACAGCUGUACUGCCAAUUACAAGGCAAAAGCAAGGAUCUAUAAGUGCUUACAAAUAUGAGUGUCAAUGAUUUUGAACAAUAAUAUUACCUGACAAAAUAGACAUGUCCUGUCUUUACCUAGCUGCUUUCUAAUACACUGCUGUGGCUUAAGGGUAGUACCCAGGCUUUCAUUGCAAUUUUAGAGUCACUAAUGUAAGAAUUUAUCUUCAAGUUGUAGAAUCAAAGAGGGAAAAUUUCUCCUUUACCCUCUGAAGACUUAGUGAAAAUGAAUUUACGAUAGUCAGAUUAAUAGGAGAAAAAGGCAUACAAAAUUGAUCUAACAGGCAAGGAAGAAAUAUCACAGGAGAGUGAGUGCUCAAUUUUUUUUAAAGAAAGAGAAACCCAAAUUCCAGUUUUGUUUCAAUGUACUUUUGAUAUUAAGGCUCAA